rnacentral:rRNA from 1 species
CUACGGGGUGCAGCAGUGAGGAAUAUUGCACAAUGGGGGGAACCCUGAUGCAGCAACGCCGCGUGGAGGAUGACGCAUUUCGGUGUGUAAACUCCUUUUAUAUGUCAAGAAAAUGACGGUAGCAUAUGAAUAAGCGCCGGCUAACUCCGUGCCAGCAGCCGCGGUAAUACGGAGGGCGCAAGCGUUACUCGGAAUCACUGGGCGUAAAGGACGCGUAGGCGGGUUGAAAAGUCAGGUGUGAAAGCCUACAGCUUAACUGUAGAACUGCACUUGAAACUCUCAAUCUAGAGUAUGGGAGGGGCAGAUGGAAUUAGUGGUGUAGGGGUAAAAUCCGUAGAUAUCACUAGGAAUACCUAAAGCGAAGGCGAUCUGCUGGAACAUUACUGACGCUAAGGCGUGAAAGCGUGGGGAGCAAACAGAAUUAGAUACCCUGGUAGUC